UCCCUUGUAUUAUGUGGGCGGUAUCGGAAACGACCGCAAAACGCUGUCGUAGGCGUUAGAACCACUAAAAUAUGAGGGUUU
rnacentral:sRNA from 1 species